rnacentral:lncRNA from 10 species
GGUCCUGGGCUUUUCUGGUCCUGGAAAAAUAUGUCCAAUUCUUUAGGAGAAAAAAUUAAUAGCUGCAAACCUGAGAUGAUCCAGAUGUUGAGAUUAUCAGACAAGAAGAUAGAUUAAUAGAAAUUACAUAAUCUGAAAAACAGAGAAAAUAGUAAAAGAAUGAUGAACGCAUUACCGGAUUCACGCCAUUCUCCUGCCUCAGCCUCCCGAGUAGCUGGGACUACAGGCGCCUGCCACCAUGCCUGGCUCAUUUUUUUUGUAUUUUUAGUAGAGAUGGGGUUUCACUAUCUGAGAGAAAUGGUGAUGGAGGUGGUA